GCAGGCUGCGAAGAGCAUUGUUGCUAAUGGACUAGCUAGGAGGUGCAUCGUGCAAGUCUCCUACGCCAUUGGUGUACCUGAGCCAUUGUCUGUAUUUGUGGACACUUACGGUACUGGAAAGAUCCCAGACAAGGAAAUUCUCAAGAUUGUGAAGGAGACCUUUGACUUCAGACCAGGAAUGAUUGCCAUCAAUCUUGAUCUUAAGAGAGGGGGCAAUAGCAGGUUCUUGAAGACUGCUGCGUAUGGUCAUUUUGGUCGGGAUGACACAGAUUUCACUUGGGAGGUUGUCAAGCCACUGAAGUGGGACAAGGUCCAUGCUUAAUUGGAGCUUCUUCACAUUGAUUCUAUGUCUGAUUUAUCUUAUCUGCUGUCUGCUACCAUAUGAGUCUGCUUUUCUUACAAUUUCCUUUAAUUUCUUUUUUU
rnacentral:lncRNA from 1 species